rnacentral:rRNA from 1 species
UACGUAGGGUGCAAGCGUUGUCCGGAAUUAUUGGGCGUAAAGAGCUCGUAGGCGGUCUGUCGCGUCUGCUGUGAAAAUCCAGGGCUCAACCCUGGACCUGUAGUGGGUACGGGCAGACUAGAGUGCGGUAGGGGAGAUCGGAAUUCCUGGUGUAGCGGUGAAAUGCGCAGAUAUCAGGAGGAACACCGGUGGCGAAGGCGGAUCUCUGGGCCGUAACUGACGCUGAGGAGCGAAAGCAUGGGGAGCGAACAGG